rnacentral:rRNA from 1 species
AUUGAACGCUGGCGGCAUGCCUUACACAUGCAAGUCGAACGGUAACAGGUCUUCGGAUGCUGACGAGUGGCGAACGGGUGAGUAAUACAUCGGAACGUGCCCGAUCGUGGGGGAUAACGAAGCGAAAGCUUUGCUAAUACCGCAUAAGAUCUACGGAUGAAAGCAGGGGACCGCAAGGCCUUGCGCGAACGGAGCGGCCGAUGGCAGAUUAGGUAGUUGGUGGGGUAAAGGCUCACCAAGCCAACGAUCUGUAGCUGGUCUGAGAGGACGACCAGCCACACUGGGACUGAGACACGGCCCAGACUCCUACGGGAGGCAGCAGUGGGGAAUUUUGGACAAUGGGCGCAAGCCUGAUCCAGCAAUGCCGCGUGCAGGAAGAAGGCCUUCGGGUUGUAAACUGCUUUUGUACGGAACGAAAAGGCUCUGGUUAAUACCUGGGGCUCAUGACGGUACCGUAAGAAUAAGCACCGGCUAACUACGUGCCAGCCGCCGCUGUAACAC